CCCUGGGGACGAGGUUGCUGCCGGUGGUUUCUUGUCUGUGAAUUUCUUCGGCAAUUUUAAUUGGGUUAGAAUUACACAUGGAUCAUGUAGUACUCAAAUCCCCAAAACAAUUAACCAAAGAGAAACCACCGAACCAAUUCUUGGUUAUGACCGCCAAAACGCACUUUUUAUUGUGAUUUGUGGGCAGUUUGUUUACGAAGAUGCCUACAUUUAAAGAUGGCGGCGCCCACAUCGACGCUCGGCCGAAUUUCCAGCUUUGAAUUACGUCCAGUUGGGACAAAAAAGGGACGGAGGAACUUUACUGAGAGAAGUUCAUCAACUUGAGGAAACAAAUAUUAUGAAAAAUUCCAGGAAGGAAGGAGAGGCCAUUGGAAUACAAUGUAUGGACGAGUUCUUGGUUCUCCAGAAAAUUAAGAGUCAAAAGCACAGGAGCAAGACAAUUAAACCCCAUCAUCGUGGACUUUCUUCACCAUCACGGAUUGCACACCAGGAGCGAACCACUCCACCAGUCUCCCACUUCUUAUUUCUAGCAGUGGAGGAAAGUCCAGGGUCAAAGCCUCUUCAAGUCAGCAAAGAGGAGUACUUACAUUUCUGUUUGCCAGCGUUGUUUAGGAUCUCUGACAUUAGAGACUAAUUGCACAAUGAUCUUCUGAAUUCUCGGACUGGUCCUGACACUUGUCUAAAGAUCUGUUCUGCAAUGUACAGGGGUGUGAAAUCUCAGCUUAAAAGCUGAUUUCAGCUUUUAUUGUUUUGGAUUUCAGCUUUUUUCCCUCACUUGCUGUGUACAAAAGUAUAGCAGAUUGCCAAAGUUCAGCUUUUUACACCUUUUUCAGCUGUUUUUAGCUAUUUUUAUCAGUGGUCACUCACAUCCCUGAAUGUACUUAAAAUAAAUGUAGGUGCUCAAUGUAUUGUGCUGUUUACACUAGCAAACCAUAAAGUUAUUGAAACAGGUCCAGGUCAACAUAGCAAACCAUAACAUUAUUGAAACAGGUCCAGGGUCAUCAGAGCAUGUUGCCUAGCCCGGUUGACAUUUAUAAUUACAUCAUAUAAGUGUUUGACUGUUUACAUUUAUAUGCUGGGGAAAAGUUAUAUUUCUAAUGAUUUAAUUGUCAGAAAUAGAAAAUGUUCAGGCCUCUUUUUAAGAAAAGAAUAUUCCCUUUGUAUUUGCGAUGUGUGUUAAUUUACUUAAUAUUCUUGUCACUUUUUUUAAGGGAUCACAAUGAUUUCUGUCUUCAUGAGCUACAGCAAAGGAAACAUUUCCAUUUUGAAAUAUAAAUAUUUCAUUAAGUGCCUUUUUAUCUAAACAUUUGGAUAUUUUUUUUCUGGGGGGGGGGGGAGGGUGAUUAUACAUGCUGUUACUGUUGACCUGUUAUGUAUGUACAUAUGUUUUUAAAUUCUAUUGUACUAUGUAGGUCCUCAAGAUACAUUUUUGUGUUUCGCUGACAGUUAACGUUUGUGCUGAACGAUUGAGCAAAAGGAACAUCUUGGUUGCUAGUGUGAUUUGGGGUCACAUGCACUGUGAGUAUAGUUGACACGGUUCACAAACUUUAAGCCUUGUUUUCUUAAAACAAUGGGGCAUGACUCUAUCAAUUUCAAAAGGGUAUAGCAACAGCUGGGAACAAGCUACAGCAACAGACAAUACAUCAUUUAAAAGCUUAUGACUUUCUCUUUCCAGAAAUGUCAUAAUCUCAUUUUUUAAAUUUUGCAACCACCCAUUUUGUGGUGCCAGGUCACAUAUGUCAAGCAAGCACUGUGACCAGUCAAACUCAGUCAACAGACCAUGAACAGACAAAGCAGGGCAGGCAAGAGGUAGGCACAGCUGGCUUUACAAUCACCUACAGUCAAAGCGAAGCUGUAUCAAGUUACAUAACAGUCACAGCCAGUCACUUGAUUGAUUUUGACUGAAAGGACUACUUGGCACAGAAUGUAUGAUUGCAUACUUAGGAGGGUUAAUGGAUUGUCUAUUGGCUUUUGGUCAUCAAUGGAUGUCUGACAAAGCCAGUAUUUGAAAAAAAUAGAAGUCUGGAAUGAUUAAAUAGAAUAUAUCUUUACCUUGUACAUGAAUUUGACCGAUAACAGUAGCGAAAAUCCCCCUAAUUUAGCAAUAUUAUUUGACUUGGCCCAUAGAGGAAAGCAAUACAUGUUGUAUGUUAAUAUAAAUAUUUAAAAAGAAAUGCCUUUACAAGCCUUAUGGAGUGCCACAUCUAUUUGUAAAGUUAUGUAUAUUUUGUAUAUUUUGUGUCACAGUGCGCUGUAACUUUACUUGUAAAGGUGUUUAGAAAUACGUGUGCCUUGUUAUACAACAAAGAAUAAAAAUACUGCCUUUUUCACCACCGGUGAUAUAGUAAAGCAAUGAAUUCUCUUAGAGCAAUAAAAAUUGAGUAUUCAAUACCUAA
rnacentral:lncRNA from 1 species